UCGCCCUGUGGUGGAUUCGCGUUGGUUGCUUAAAACAGCAGGACGGUGAUCAUGGAAGUCGAAAUCCGCUAAGGAGUGUGUAACAACUCACCUGCCGAAGCAACUAGCCCUUAAAAUGGAUGGCGCUUAAGUUGUAUACCUAUACAUUACCGCUAAAGUAGAUGAUUUAUAUUACUUGUGAUAUAAAUUUUGAAACUUUAGUGAGUAGGAAGGUACAAUGGUAUGCGUAGAAGUGUUUGGCGUAAGCCUGCAUGGAGCUGCCAUUGGUACAGAUCUUGGUGGUAGUAGCAAAUAAUCGAAUGAGACCUUGGAGGACUGAAGUGGAGAAGGGUUUCGUGUGAACAGUGGUUGAUCACGAGUUAGUCGGUCCUAAGUUCAAGGCGAAAGCCGAAAAUUUUCAAGUAAAACAAAAAUGCCUAACUAUAUAAACAAAGCGAAUAUAAUACACUUGAAUAAUUUUGAACGAAAGGGAAUACGGUUCCAAUUCCGUAACCUGUUGAGUAUCCGUUUGUUAUUAAAUAUGGGCCUCGUGCUCAUCCUGGCAACAGGAACGACCAUAAAGAAGCCGUCGAGAGAUAUCGGAAGAGUUUUCUUUUCUGUUUUAUAGCCGUACUACCAUGGAAGUCUUUCGCAGAGAGAUAUGGUAGAUGGGCUAGAAGAGCAUGACAUAUACUGUUGUGUCGAUAUUUUCUCCUCGGACCUUGAAAAUUUAUGGUGGGGACACGCAAACUUCUCAACAGGCCGUACCAAUAUCCGCAGCUGGUCUCCAAGGUGAAGAGUCUCUAGUCGAUAGAAUAAUGUAGGUAAGGGAAGUCGGCAAAUUAGAUCCGUAACUUCGGGAUAAGGAUUGGCUCUGAAGAUUGAGAUAGUCGGGCUUGAUUGGGAAACAAUAACAUGGUUUAUGUGCUCGUUCUGGGUAAAUAGAGUUUCUAGCAUUUAU
rnacentral:ncRNA from 1 species